rnacentral:lncRNA from 1 species
UUAUUAUUAUUAUAAUAAUAAUAAUAAUAAUAAUAAUAAUAAUAGAUGUCUUUGUUUUCUUUUCAAGAUGUUUAAAUUGAUGUCCAUUUUUUUGAAGCAAAAACUUUGUUUAGUAUCGUAAACUCUCUUGAAAAAGAAAAGUUACUUUUGCGAGGUUUCCCACAUAUCAGUUAAAAACGCUAGAAAUACCAUUCAAAUACAUGUGUGAAUACAUGUACAAAGUCAAACCAAGACAUUAGCUAGUUGGUGCACGGCCGUCAGUCUCCUCCAUUUGUCUCUUGAAAAAUUAUUAAUGAAAUUGGAAGGUAUUGCUCUAGUCAAACAAAAAUGUAAAAUAAGCGUGGACCCUAACCUUUGACCUUCCUAGUAAGCUUGUUCCCAACCUGUAUUUUUUAAGUAUAGCCAAACAUGAAUGAUCAGGAGGAGAAGAAUUAUUUAUAAUUUCUGUUUAAUAUGUGCAACAAUCAAAUCAAUUCUCACUUUCUGAUAUCUCUUGCAUGGUGUUUGUAUUCCAAUGUUCACCCAGAAAUAUUUUUAGAGAUCCAAUGGUUUUUACUUAUUGUUCUUUGCUUUUCUUCUCAAUUAUAGUUGGUACAAAUGUCUAAAAUGUAAUAUCUAUCUUUAUCUCCUUUUUUUAUCAGAAGAACUAAUCAGAAGCACUGAUUAAGUAAAUGAAAAGAAAAAUCUUCAAAACAAGCCCAGGAUGUAGAUGACCAUCUACACAAGUAUGAAGAGGAAAGAAGUAGUAGGUAGAGCCUGUAUUUGUUGAUUUAUUUUUGUAUAUAUUUGGAAUACAACGGCUAGCACAAUGCCUUUAGAACAUGGCUAUGGUAAAGACUUUUUUACAACGGUCACCUGUGUCUUGGGCCAUGUGAUAACGCUUUCAAACUACUGGUAUUAUUCUAGUUGAUAUGCGCGCUUUUUUUGGGCUCCCACUGACACUUGCGCUCUAGUCCACCUUCAUCUUUCCUUAUUGAGUUAAGCCAUUUUACGAGAAAAUGUUGCCAGAUUCCUUGACAGAUGACUUGUUGGCAAAGUAUGCUUAAAUGUAGAAAUUGACUGUUUUUUAAACACUCCAAUAAUAAAAUGUCAUAUGACAUUAUAUCAAAGAAUUUGGCAAAAGAUUUCGACAAUAUAGCAAGGUUUUUCCUCAUUUCGUCCUAGCCUUGGAGAUAACCACAGAAAGCCACCUGGAUGUAAUAUGCCAGGUUAUAAAAAAGCUCUAUUAAUGUCUUCAUAUAUUGCAAGAACAACUUGCGGCACUACACCAAAAAUGAUUAUUUGCAAUAGAUAAAAGGUAACAUUUGGUAGCUAAGUGUUGCUAAAGGAUCUACCGCAACAUUUUAAUGAGUGUAUGUUGCUAUUGGUUAACAAAAUUGAGCUUUGACGACAUUUUUUAAAUGGAUGUUUUUAAUGUCACAUUUUGCAACGUUUAUUGAAUGUUGUGGAAAAUUCCAUUUUCACAACACUUACUAAAUAUUGCUAAAGGUUCUUUUUUCAACGUUCACUGGCCAUUACAAAAAUUUCACUUUUCACAAUAUUUAUCAAAUGUUGCAAAAAGUUUUAUUUUUCGCAAUGUUCAUUAUUAAGACAUUUUUCCUUUUUGCAGCAUUCGUUGAAGGUUGCAAAAAGUAUCAAAAAAUGAACACAAAUAAAAUUAUAUACGGACCCAAAAUAAUCCAAACACUAGACUAAUAGAGUCUGUUUGGGAGUGAUUUUAAGAAUUGAUUUUUUGACCGUUAGAAAAAAAGUGGGGUCCACGUGUGAGAGAAGAAAUCAAAUAUGAUUGUUGAAAUAGUGAAAUAACGUUUAAAAAAUCAAUUUUUUGGAUGAAAAAAUCGUGCCCAAACAGGCUCAUAAUUCACGCCUCUCCUCUCUUCUCCUCUUCUUCACUCCCGACCAAAAGUUUUACUUCUCCAUAUUUUGCCCAAUUAAUUUGCUCCCGUUCAGCCCCAAUAGAAGGUCUUAGUGUUGAUUGAGGGUGCAAAAACGAUGUUCUUUCGCUUCGAGAACUUUUUUGGAUAAUAUAAGGUACAUAGAUGAGCAGAACAGCGCUGCGAAUCGGACCUAUAAACUGGGUUUGAACUGAUUCACUGAUCUCAGCAAUGAGGAGUACCGAUCCAUGUAUUUGUGUGCGAAAAUCGGUGAUAGGAAGACGAAGAGUGAUCGGGACGGUAUAAACUGAAAGACGGCAACAACUUGCCAAAUUCCAUUGACUGGAGAGACAAAGGCCCUGUCCCUCCAGUGAAAGAUCAAGGGAGCUGUGGUAAGCCCUUUUAUUUAUUAUUCCAUAGAAAAGUUCUCAAUUAGAUUUUAUACUGCUUUAAAGUUUAGUGCAAAUCAGUCCAUUUUGUUGAGUAAAAAAAUAAAAAUAAAAAUGAAACUAGUCCAAAUUAAUUCAUUUUAUGGUGAUUAGGCUUAAUCGGUGGGCUUAGUGGGAAAUUAUGGUUGUUCUGUCAAAUAACUUGGUCCAGUAAGUAAUUGAACAUAAUAGAGUAGAAAAAACCGUUGAGGCUGGAGAAAUGAGGUUCCCUGUCUCUUGUUGGAUACCAAUAUAUGUUAAGAGUGACAAAAUUCAAUUACGGUUGAUCUACCUCCAUGGUUUGCUUAUGAUUAUAUAGAGAUUGGUAACUUUAAUCCUCUUUGGUGUUUCUGCGGAUGGUAUUUUUAGCCUUGGCCUUUGCUCAGAGUGAGGUAUUGUGGUACUUCUAGCACCUUUGAAUAGCUUCAUCAAAAUCAAAAGCAGCCCAAGUUGUUCCAGUAGAAAUUGUAAGGAAAUUACAUUUUUUAAGGGGGUUAGUGGAAUACAACUUUGUAAUGUGUAUUAUAUCCUAUGUAGCACGGACACUCUAACUAGAGUAGCGUGUCCGUGUCCGACACGUGUCGGAUACGUGUCGAUACCGACACUCUUCGGACACUCUACAAUAAUCAUUUUCCUUUCUUACUAUAGUUAUUUUAUAUUUUUAACUCAAAAUUUUUAGUAAAUAACAAAUAAGUACUCAUAUUUAAAAGAUUUCAACAAAGAAGAAUCAAUAAUAAGUAUAAAACUAAAUUUAAACUAUAUAAAUGAAGAAUUUUAAAGAAUUUAUCGAACGUGUCGACGACGUGUCGUGUCGGUACUUUUUUGAAAAAUCACGAGUCAACGUAUCCGACACGUAUCAUGUCGGACACACGUGUCCGUGUCGGUGCAUCAUAGAUUAUAUCUCUUAGUUACAGAGCAUAUCACGUCGAAAUGCAACCCUUUUUGAUGUUUGGUUCAUGGAUGCAGGAUGCAAAUGAUCCAACCAUUGGGUUCUUAUUGGAUGGAAUGGACCAUCUUUGUUGUCUAGUGUGGAAGUACAUUACAGGUCAGAUACCCUUACUAAAGCCAAAAUAAUAAUAAUAAUAAUAAUAAUAAUAAUAAUAAUAGAUGUCUUUGUUUUCUUUUCAAGAUGUUUAAAUUGAUGUCCAUUUUUUUGAAGCAAAAACUUUGUUUAGUAUCGUAAACUCUCUUGAAAAAGAAAAGUUACUUUUGCGAGGUUUACCAUAUAUCAGUUAAAAACGCUGGAAAUACCAUUCAAAUACAUGUGUGAAUACAUGUACAAAGUCAAACCAAGACAUUAGCUAUGUUGGUGCACGGCCGUCAGUCUCCUCCAUUUGUCUCUUGAAAAAUUAUUAAUGAAAUUGGAAGGCAUUGCUCUAGUUAAACAAAAAUGUAAAAUAAGCGUGGACCCUAACGUUUGACCUUCUUAGUAAGCUUGUUCCCAACCUGUAUUUUGUAAGUAUAGCCAAACAUGAAUGAUCAGGAGAAGAAGAAUGAUUUAUAAUUUCUGUUUAAUAUGUGCAACAAUCAAAUCAAUUCUCACUUUCUGAUAUCUCUUGCAUGGUGUUUGUAUUCCAAUGUUCACCCAGAAAUAUUUUUUGAGAUCCAAUGGUUUUUACUUAUUGUUCUUUGCUUUUCUUCUCAAUUAUAGUUGGUACAAAUGUCUAAAAUGUAGUAUCUAUAUUUAUCUCCUUUUUUUAUGGGCUAGGAACGACACAGCUCAUUUCGAAGAUUGCUGAGAAGAAAAUUAAGGAGGGCGAUAGGGUGGUUUCACUCACUACUUAAUGGUUUUUUAUUUUUUAUUUUUAUUUUUAUUGUUAUUUUUUAUUUUUUAUGGGAAAAAUGUAUUGGAUUUUUAGGUGUUUUAGAAUUUUGGAUCCGAAUAUUGUUACAUUUUAGAGUUUAAUUAAUAAUGAUUAUUGGAGUUAUU